UCUAAUAUUCCAAAAUUUUCUUGGGGGGGGGGGGCAUGCCCCCAAACCUCCCUAGCUGGUUCGGAUCACUUCGUGAUCCUCACCAGGGACACAGAUUUUAUCCGGUCCAGUACAUAUAAAUUCAGGCUAGUAUUUUUUUUUUUUACUACCCCAUAGGGCUAGUUAUUCAAAUAGUUUUUGGCACAGACUGUAAACAAACAACAACCACUGUAUGUCUGUACUCUAACUAUUUAUUCAGAAAAGAAGAUGUGGUAUGAUUGCCAAUGAGAUAACUCGCCACAAGAGACCAAAUUGACACAGAAAUUAACAACUAUAGUUAACUUUAGAUUGCCUUAACCAAAUGUUAGUAAACUGUUAUACAAUGCUUAUUACCACUAAACACAAUCAAGUUUGAAUAUUUGGGGGCGUCACUUUAGUCGUUCUAAAGUUAUGCCCCUUUACAAAUGGUAAAAUUGCUAUUUUUUUUAGUUUUCUUCCUAUUUCUGUAGUUUGCCUUAAUCUAAUGUGAUAAAACUUUUAUACAAUACUUUUUAGUUAUUUUGUGUAUAUUUAAAUUGCAGAGUAAUGAAUAUCUUAUAUUUCAUAGGGAUCAAUAUACAGGGAUAUUGCUACUCUGAGGCCCAUGCAGGAAAGUCAUAUUGUGAUUCAAAGAUGGCAAAUAAGCGCAAAAAGAUAAAAAGUUGGGUUGCAAGUUGAAAAAAAAACAUUGUAACAGCAGCUGAUAUGAAAACUGUCCUUGACUCUAGAACAGGUGUUGCUGGAUGUCAAGUCUCUAAAUGUGCUAACAACACCUCAUAACACAAACUGAUUACACACAAGUUAGAAGGAAUAAAUGAUUUUAAUGAGUUGUGAGUUGAAAAAGAUGGUAUACUACUGAGGAAAGCCUACAACAUCGGCAAGGACUGAUGAAGAUUGCACAGCAGAAUAAAAAUGAUUGCUCAUUUGGGAUUAUCUCUUGUCCUUGAUAUAUAGUUAAACAAGUGCAGAGAUAUUUUUGCCUGAGCUUUUGUUCUUUUUCAUCAAUGUUCAGAAAGAAGAAAUAUAGAAGAAUAAAGAAAAAAUUGGUAA